rnacentral:rRNA from 1 species
GCCGGCGAGUGGCGAACGGGUGAGUAAUAUAUCGGAACGUACCUUUCAGUGGGGGAUAACGUAGCGAAAGUUACGCUAAUACCGCAUAUUCUGUGAGCAGGAAAGCAGGGGAUCGCAAGACCUUGCGCUGAUUGAGCGGCCGAUAUCAGAUUAGCUAGUUGGUGAGGUAAAGGCUCACCAAGGCGACGAUCUGUAGCGGGUCUGAGAGGAUGAUCCGCCACACUGGAACUGAGACACGGUCCAGACUCCUACGGGAGGCAGCAGUGGGGAAUUUUUGGACAAUGGGCGCAAGCCUGAUCCAGCCAUGCCGCGUGAGUGAAGAAGGCCUUCGGGUUGUAAAGCUCUUUCGGCCGGGAAGAAAUCGCACAGGUUAAUACCCUGUGUGGAUGACGGUACCGGAAUAAGAAGCACCGGCUAACUACGUG